AUUGAACGCUGGCGGUAGGCCUAACACAUGCAAGUCGAGCGAGCGGCGGACGGGUGAGUAAUGUAUGGGGACUGCCCGAUGGAGGGGGAUAACUACUGGAAACGGUAGCUAAUACCGCAUACCAUCGGAUAACCCAGAUGGGCUUAGCUAGUUGGUGGGGUAAUGGCUCACCUAGGCGACGAGCCCUAGCUGGUCUGAGAGGAUGAUCAGCCACACUGGGACUGAGACACGGCCCAGACUCCUACGGAGGCAGCAGUGGGGAAUAUUGCACAAGGGGCGCAAGCCUGAUGCAGCCAUGCCGCGUGUAUGAAGAAGGCCCUAGGGUUGUAAAGUACUUUCAGUCGGGAGGCGUUACCGGCAGAAGAAGCACCGGCUAACUCCGGGCCAGCAGCCGCGGUAAUUC
rnacentral:rRNA from 1 species